rnacentral:rRNA from 1 species
UUAGAGUUUGAUUCUGGCUCAGGACGAACGCUGGCGGCGUGCUUACACAUGCAAGUGGAGGGAUGGAACUACUUCGGUAGUGAAUUAGCGGCGAACGGGUGAGGAACACGUGAGGAAUCUGCCUUCUACACUGGGAUAACUCCGGGAAAUCGGGGCUAAUACCGGAUAUGAAACUUGGUGGCAUCACCGAGUUUGGAAAGUUUUUCGGUAGAAGAUGACCUCGCGGCCUAUCAGCUUGUUGGUGAGGUAAUGGCUCACCAAGGCGACGACGGGUAGCCGGCCUGAGAGGGCGACCGGCCACACUGGGACUGAGACACGGCCCAGACUCCUACGGGAGGCAGCAGUGGGGAAUAUUGGGCAAUGGAGGAAACUCUGACCCAGCGACGCCGCGUGCGGGAUGAAGGCCUUCGGGUUGUAAACCGCUUUCAGUAGGGAAGAAGCGAAAGUGACGGUACCUACAGAAGAAGCACCGGCUAACUAUGUGCCAGCAGCCGCGGUAAUACAUAGGGUGCAAGCGUUGUCCGGAAUUAUUGGGCGUAAAGAGCUCGUAGGUGGUUCGUUACGUCGGAUGUGAAAAUCUGGGGCUCAACCCCAGACCUGCAUCCGAUACGGUCGAGCUAGAGUUUGGUAGGGGAGACUGGAAUUCCUGGUGUAGCGGUGGAAUGCGCAGAUAUCAGGAGGAACACCAAUGGCGAAGGCAGGUCUCUGGGCCAAUACUGACACUGAGGAGCGAAAGCGUGGGGAGCGAACAGGAUUAGAUACCCUGGUAGUCCACGCCGUAAACGGUGGGCGCUAGUUGUGGGACCUUCCACGGUUUCUGCGACGCAGCUAACGCAUUAAGCGCCCCGCCUGGGGAGUACGAUCGCAAGAUUAAAAUCAAAGGAAUU